GGGGGAUUAGUUUAAUUGGGAAAACACGAGCCUUGCAAGUUCACGUUAUCGGUUCGACUCCGUUAUCCUCCACCA
rnacentral:tRNA from 1 species